GGAUCUGAUAGCGAGCUACGGAUGCCAAUGGAUACGUCCUCCGAGAGUGGAGCUCUCGUCAACUUUCGCGCAGAUCGUCUGCGGGGUGUUCUGUGAAACCUGUGCUACUGGGAUAAGAAAUAUUUGAGCUGGCUCUUACAAGGUUCGAAUGACAGAAAAUAUUGGGAAUAUUUGGAAAUCAAAAUAUUCUCACAACAUUUAUAGAGACACAGGAUGUGAUUUGAACCUUAUCUGGAACGCGUAUCUUACGAUAGCAGGGAGGAGUAUUAGUAGUUGACUCUAUCUAAAAUCUUCUUAAGCCAGUCAACGAUUAUAAAAGGAAACACACGCUGUAUCAAGUGGAACGUAUCAACUGAAUGCUGCUACGAUGCUCGGAUGAUCGGCACCCGAGAUGGAUCCGCUUCGGGGUUGAUCAGAAUCAG